rnacentral:lncRNA from 11 species
CCCGCAGGCCUCAGGCUGGCCCCAGCCACGAGAAAGCCGGAGCCCGAACCUUCCCCCCGAAGAGCCACCUCCGCCUCCCGCCAGGCCGGAGGCAGGCUGCAAGGCCCAAGGCAUCUGCUGUUCUCCAGAAGUCCUUGGGUCUCAACUAACCAUCCACAAUGAAAAGCCUUUUCCUGCUUCUCACUUUGGCUUUCUUGGUUUUUCAACUAAAAGCCAAUACAAAUCCAGAGGAAGGUCCUGUGCUUUGUGUUUCACCUGAAAAUGCCACCGCAUUAACAGGAAAAAUCAAUCUGAAAAUGCAUGUGAAUGGUCGCAUUCUGUGCCGUGCUAUAGGGGGACAUUGCAGGCGGUCUUGCCGUAACCAUGAAAUAUCUGGUGGAAAAUGCUUAUCGGAGGUUCACUGCUGUGUGGGUUAUGAUUUAGUAUGAUUUUAAAAAGAAGCCCAAGGAAGACUGAAAAGACAACCAUCAAACAACAACCAGGAAAUCACUUGGCUAUCAUGACCUGCUCAACUGUUCUGAAAUCUUUUCUUCUUUUUUUUCCAUUUUCAAUAAAAUUG